rnacentral:lncRNA from 1 species
UUAUCUUUGGUUCACUAAAUUUGCAUUUUGCUUCUCAGAUGAUGGGGAGAACCUCUAUCAAUACAUCCCAGGAAGUAGAGAACAGAAGUAGACAUAAGAGAGCACAUAUGUAGAAGGUAAUGGAAGUGGAUUUAAAAACCUCAGCAAAAUGUACAAAGCAUGGGAUCUGCCUUUGGGUCUACUCACAGUCUGCAGUCUGCAUGGAACUUACAAUUCCAGCCACUGUGUCCAAGGUCCAGGCAUCAAGAAGGAGGGGGCAAAGGGAAAGGAGAACCUUUACAGGUGUGUUGGCUCCUUUUGAAGAGUUUUCCCAUAAUCGCCAUCUGACAACUUCUGAUUAUGUUUCAUUGACCACCUGCUUCUGCGAGGAGUCUGGGAAGUGUAGUUCAUUUAGUCUGACUUAAUGCCACUUCCAUCCCUGGAAGGAAGAAGGACAGAAUACAUAUCAUCCAGGCAACUGGUGAUCUCUGCAUGCAGAAUCUCGUAGCUAAAAGCAAGUCAAAUGAGAAGUUAGGAAGCAAGACAGCUUAUAUGGAGGGCCAGUUGGCUAGGUCCAUACCUAAAGGAGGUAUAAGGGAGGCAGUAUAGGCUGAGUUGUCAGCCUGGCUCUGUGCUUUUUGGCUGUGUGACAAUCUCCUGAAUAGCUCAAUGCCUUAGUCCUCUUUGUCCCUAAAAUGGAAUUAUGUUGAAGCUGACCCCACAGGGGAGUUUGAAGGUCUACAGGAAAUAGGAUGUGCAGUGCCUUAAAACUAGAAGGUGCUUUAUGAAUGUAUCUUCCAUAGGUGCUCAGCAAUAGGAGGUGUCCAGGCAAUGAUCGCUUCAGAACUCUCUCAUAAGGACUUCACUGAUCAACACUCACCAUUAUUUCUGCCACUCAUUUAUUAUUCAGUCUUACAUUGGUCCUCAACACUUUUGUCUAGGAAAACUCCCCAUUGAGGUUGCAAGGAAACACCUUGAGCAAAGACGAAAGAUGGAUUUUUGCAAAACCGCAAGGGGCAUGCCAUCUUCCAAUAACUUGGCACAGCUAGCAUUGCCCUUCAGAGAGACAAGGGACAGGAACAGAGCUAGGUGAGGGACAAUUCUGACAUCCCCAGCAUACAAGGCCAAGGCUGUUGGGGGAAAGCUGUCAGCCAGGACAAGAAGGGCAGAGAGAGGACGGGCCAGAAGGGUGAUGAGUUCUAUUCUAGACAUGAGAACAGAACAUGCGAUCUUGAGACACUAGCAGAGGCAACCAGUGACAGCUGACUCCUUUCAUAUAGUAAACUUUGACCAAAUGAUUGUGUACUAGGCACACUCCAGGUGCUCGAGAUUGAACACAGGAAACACAGCCCCUUGUCUUCAGGGAGCUUAGUAGUGAGCCCAGGGUGACACUGUAAGGAAGAGAGGGGCUAAGUGACAUAUGUGGAGUUCAGAGACAGCGAGGUUGGACGUGUGAAGAAUUCUAUAGAGAAUAGU